rnacentral:rRNA from 1 species
CCUACGGGAGGCAGCAGUGGGGAAUAUUGCACAAUGGGGGAAACCCUGAUGCAGCGACGCCGCGUGAGUGAAGAAGUAUCUCGGUACGUAAAGCUCUAUCAGCAGGAAAGAAAAUGACGGUACCUGACUAAGAAGCCCCGGCUAACUACGUGCCAGCAGCCGCGGUAAUACGUAGGGGGCAAGCGUUAUCCGGAUUUACUGGGUGUAAAGGGAGCGUAGUCGGGGCUGCAAGUCCGGAGUGAAAGCCCAUGGCUGAACCAUGGUACUGCUGUGGAAACUGUAGAGCUUGAGUGCGGGAGGGGAAGGCGGAAUUCCUAGUGUAGCGGUGAAAUGCGUAGAUAUUAGGAGGAACACCGGCGGCGAAGGCGGCCUGCUGGACCGUAACUGACGUUGAGGCUCGAAAGCGUGGGGAGCAAACAGGAUUAGAUACCCCAGUAGUC